UUUUCUCCUUGGUGCCUACUACAAUUCACUGCACUCAAGAAAGAACUUUUUUUUUUGGAAAAAAAAAUGAACAUUAAUAUUUAUUGAGUAUUCAUUAUGUUCUAGGGCUCAAGGAGUUCAUUGUGCUUGGAUCCACAAUCAACACCCAUGGAAGCAGUAGUCAAGAAAUCAAAUGAUGUAUUGCAUUGGGAAAUUUGCUGCAAAAGACUUCUUAAAAGUGUUGGAAAGCAAAGAUGUCACUUUGAGGACUAAGGGGCACCUGACCCAAGGCAAUGCCUCAUAUGCCCGUGAAAGUUGGACAAUGAAUAAGGAAGACCUAAGAUGAAUUGAUGACUUUGAAUUACAGUGUUGGCAAAGAAUAUUAACUAUACCAUGGUCUGCCAGAAGAAUGAACAAGUCUGCCUUAGAAGAAGUACAGCCAGAAUGCUUCUUAGAAGUAAGGAGGGUGAGAUCUUGUCUCAUGUACUUUGGACAUGCUAUCAGGAGGGGCCAGUACCUGGAGAAGGACAUCAUGCUUGGUAAAGUUGAGGAUCAGCAAAAAAAGAGGAAGACCCUCGGUAAGAUGGACUGACAAUGGCUGCAGCAAUGGGCUCAAACAUAGCUACAAUUGUGAGGAUAGUACAUGACCAGGCAGUGUUUUGUUCUGCUGUACAUAGGGUUACUAUGAGUCAGAACCAACUAGACGGCACCUAAGAACAACAAUAACAGUAAUUGAAAUAGACAAGAAAGGACCUCCCCCUAGAGUCAAACCCUGAAUUUGGACUUCUACCUUCCGGGUGCUGGGAACCUCCUAAAUUGUGAGAAAGUAGAUUUCUGUUCUUUGAAACAACUCACUUGUCUUAUUUCUGUUACAGAAGCACUAAGAAACUGAGACACAGUUGGAAUAAUAAUGAACUCCUGGAGAAGUGACUCUCAGGAAGGCAUAACCCAUUGCUCAUUCACCCUAUAGAUGGCAUGUUAGAGAGCGCAGCUCUCAAAGGGUGUCUGGAGGUCCCAGGGGAAACCCCGAGACCCUUUCAGGGGUGCAUAAAGGCAAAAUUGUUUCAAUAAUAUGUUAUUUGUCUUUUUCACUCUCAUUCUCUCCCAAACAUAUGGUGGAGUUUUCCAGAAGCUAAACGAAGUGUGAUAUCACAGCAGAUUGAAUGCAGAAGCAGAUAUGAGAAUCCAGCUGUCUUCUUUUAAGGCAGACAUUCAAUAGAUUUGCUAAAAUGUUAAUCAGUGUAAUCCUUCUCAUGAAAUGUUUGUCUGGGAAAAGAUAUUUUUCAUAAAUAUGCUAGUUAUAUUUAACAUAUUUAUUAUUGUAAUUUUUAAAUGAAUUAGUAAAUAUUAUAAAAAUGUUUAAUUUCUAAUACUGUAAAUAGUGAUAGAUAAAAUCCUUAUAGACAAAAGCUUUUUGUGGUCCUUAAUAAUUCUUAUGAGUGUGAAGGAGUCCUAAAACCAAACAGUUUGAGAACUGCUGGUCUAAUGGAUGAGAGCCCAGGAGUUAGUGUGGCUGGGUUUGAAUCCUCACACGUUACUUAACCUCUCUGAGACUUAGUUUCCUUGUCUGUGAAUGAGGCUGCCUCAUACAGUUAUUGUGAGCAACAAAUGAAAUAAUGUGUUUAUAGUACUUUGCACAGUGUUGGGUCCAGAAUGAUCACUUCAUAAAUGUUCAUAUUUAUUUCAUUGGUUGCAUAUCCAUUAUAUGCAUAACCCUAUGCUAAGUGCUGUGAAGAAUAUAAAAUGACAAAAGUCACAGACCUCAAAGAAUUUUUCAUCCAGCAAAGGAGAGAUUUUGGGGGUGUGUAGUUGUCAUCUUUGGGUUCAAUUCCCAGCUCUGCCCUUGACCAGCAACAUGAUCUUGAGCAAGUCACUUCCCAUCGGAUAAAGUUAGAUAAUAAAGGCAUCUAUGAUCUUCAGCUGAAAACUGGGAUUGAUGGGGGGAAGAUUGUCACUGUCACCACACCAUCUGACAUUUAUUGAGCAUUUACUUUGUUUUGGGGCUGUGCCACGUGUUCCCAUGUUUCAUAGCAUGUGAUCUCAGAGCAACACUGGGUUGGGAGGGGGCUGGGUGUGUGGGUAUGAUCACUUGUUUUUAAUUGCUGGACACUUGGACUGUCAACAGCAUGAAACUUGUGGAAAGUUCAACUAGAAGGUGGUGGAGCUGGGUUUAAAUCCAGGUACUCUGAAAAGGUAGGGAUUCUUAAACACCGAUGCUGGAUUAAGAGGCUCCAGAGACAGGGUAAUCAAUUCUACAGGGGAGAAACAUGCCAAUUCCACAGAAGGAAGGCUUACUCUGUGUGACACUGGUCUCAGAGGGAAGUCCUUGGAGCUGAGCUUGGUGUGUUGCAGCAUUUGGUCAGAAGACUAGAGAGUUUGGUCAGUCUGGGGAAUGACACCUCUCAUUGUGAAAUAAUCUUCUUAGUGGCACCUCCAACACUGGCUGUAAGCCCUUAAAGCAGGGACCUAUCUGACUGUUGUAUGCUCUAAGACAGUGGUUCUCAGUCUGAGCCACAAAAACCCCUUUCUGUGACAAAUACAAGGUGAAAUUUAUAGGUAGUGUAGCUUACCUAAGCAUAUAAAACACAGGAAACUUGGAAAGUAAUUAGAAUGAGUGUCAGGCUGGCCUAUACAGAAGACAAAAAAUUGCUGGGACAAAUUUCCAAAGUGUCCACUAGGAGGCGCUGUUCCUAGCCAGUGUUGAGAACGACUCAUAGUCCCUCCGUGGUGAAAUGGGCUGUUUGCCCUUCCCAUUGUAAUCAACUCAUGUGACACUCCUGAGGCGGCACGUUGGUCUCCCAGAGGUCCCCUGGGAGGUAAGGGGGGAAUAAAGAGAGGAAGUCACAGAGUACGGAGGUGACCCCCAUGUUCAUGUGAUAGAUUUCUAGUCAUGUGUAGACACCAUGUGUAAAGUGACAUAAAAAAAAAGUUUUAGUUAUUGAGUCAUUUGCUUAAAAAGUUAUUAUGAAGUAAUAUUUGUUUUAUGUUCAUUGACAUGAUAUUUUUAGGUUACUUUGUAUCAUAAAAAAACAUAGCAAGUGAUAAAUAUUCAUUUUAGAUUUUUCUUUAAAUUGACUCAAUUUUUUCUUUCAUCUAAAUACAUAUAUUUAAUGGGACUUUAUUCUAGCACAUAAAUGAAAAACUUGUAUUACUUGACCUAAUUAGAAAACCCACUGCCCUUGAAGUUGAUUCCAACUCAUGGCGACCCUGUAGGACAGAGUAGAACUGCCCCGUAGAUCUCCAAGGCUAUCAAUCUUUACAGAAGCAGACUGCCCUAUCUUUCUUCCAAGCAGUGGCUCGUGGGUUCAGAUCGCUGACCGUUCAUUUAGCAGCUGAGCACUUUAACCACUGCGCCAUUAGGGCUCACUAAAAUACACACCCACAAAACAAAACAUUGUUAUUCAAUUCUUGCUGAUACUGACACUUGCUUUCCAACAAAGGCCUGCUUUCUAGAAAAAGGGAGUUUAACAAGUUUUAAAGAGAUUUUAAAGACAUUGGCACUGAACUGAAACUAUCCUUAACACUUUAGUUACUACGGGAUGAACGGUAUACCAGACACUUUUUUUUGCUUCUGAACAUGUAGGUAGCACCUUCUUCUGUUAUUCCAAUUCUAACGCAUUUGGUAUCAAGGUGGGUCUCUUCUGAAGUGCGUGAAGCUCUGAAGACGGAGCUGGAGCCUCAUUGUUGCGUAGGUUGAGCAUUCCAUACAAAACUAACACAUCCAGGAAAUACAGAAUGCAGAAUAAGAACAGAAUAAGGUGCUACCUACAGGUUCAGAAGCAAAAAAAUGUCUGGUAUACCGUUCAACCUGUAGUAACUUAAGUGUUAAGGAGAGUUUCAGUUCAGGGCUAACUGCUUUCCUGUGUGACAGUGGAGCCCUGGUGGCACAGUAGUUAAGAGCUUGGCUACUAACCAAAAGGUCAGCAGUUCAAAUCCCCAGGUCAGCAGCUCGAAACCACCAACUGCUCCUUGGAAACCAUAUGGAGGCAGUUCUGCUCUGUCAUAUACAGUUGCUAUGAGUGGCAAUCUAUGUGAUGGCAACAGGUUUGGUUUUUUGUUUUGAUUUUGUGUGAUAGUUAGGGAGCCCUGAUGGGUUUAUUUUGAUUUUUCUUUGUCAUAUUUGGAAAACUGGAGGUUCCCAUUUAACCUAAUAGAAAGGCGCCAGCAAUAAAUCCUCUUUAGUUUUUAUUGGUAUGUUGACACACCACAGAUUGGUGGCGCCAGAGUGUCACUCGCCUUACUGGUGGCUUGUAUUACCUGAUUGUAUUUCUCAAAAUCCAUACUAUGAACUAAAAAUUUAAGCACAAUUAGUAAGCAUGCAUUCCAGUACUGAAAACACAUGCCACCAAAAAAAAAAAAAAAAUUGGUAAUGAAAGGUCAAAGUAAUCAGAAGGACUAAAAGAGAAGGGGAAAGGGAUUAAUUUUCUCUUGUGAUUCAAUGCUAUUUAAAGCUUCAUCUAUGUCCCACCCAAAGCAUCUCUCAUAUAACAGUGGACAAAAUAUCUGCCACUGUGGGCAUAUUGGUAUGGUGGAUGGCUUCCUGGCCUUGGAGUCAAGGGGCCACCUACUAGCUAUAUGUCUUACACCUGUUGCUUGGCCUCCCUGGGCCUCUCUGUCAUCACCUGUAACACGAGGUAGUUGGAGAAGAUCUCUAAAAUUCUUUUGGAUCUAUUUGGAGCCCUGAUUCUCAUUGGAAGGACAUCUAGGACUUAAGAAGGACUUCGUUUUGCUUUGUGCUUACAACCGCUGAAGGAAACUGGUGGCCCUGUCCCUAAUAUUUUUAAACUAGGCACCCGAGAAAGGUGAAUGUGAGUGUACAAGUCCAUCCCACCCACACACGUCCUUGGUGGUCAUGUGAGCGCUGAGUGUAUUUGUGGGGGCUUUAGGACUUCAAGCUUUUUUACAAGUUUAUUUUGUUAAGCACUGAUUGAGCAACCUGUGGCUUUCCAGCCCACAUGCUUCCUGAGUCUUGCCUGGUCACUAGGUGCAGGUGCCUGCAAAUGUGUAUGGGGGAUGGUGGGAGGAAGGCUGAGGAGACAGGAGAAGACAGCAGAGUUUAUCCCUGGUGGCCUUUGAUCUGCUCAACCACCAAGGCAGGCCUGCUAUAGCCGGAGUUCGGCUGAGCAAGGUGGCUAAACGGCACUGGAAGGCAGAUGUUUGGAAAUGCAGCCUUGCUCCUCUCAGAGACUCCUUCUUGUGAGGUCUCUGCUGCCAGUUCUGAGACAUUCCUGACCAGGUUGAAUUCUCUGGAUAAAGAUGUCUUAUUGAGAUGAUAAUGUGAUAAAGCAUCGAAAACCAAAAAACCAAACCCAUUGCCUCUGAGUCAAUUCCAACUCAUGGUGAUGCCCGGGGUGGUGCAAAUGGUUUGCACUCAACUACUAACCUAAAGGCUGGUGGUUUAAAACCACCCAGUGACACCACAGAAGAAAGGCCUGGUGAUCUGCUUCUGUACAGAUGACAGCCAAGUAAACCCUAUGCAGCAGUUCUGCUCUGUAACACCUGGGGUCUCCAUUAGUCUUAAGCAUAGAAAAACCAAACCCAGUGCCGUUGAGUCGAUUCUGACUCAUAGCAACCCUACAGAACAGGGUAGAACUACCACAUAGAGUUUCCAAGGAGCGCCUGGCGGAUUUGAACUGCCGACCCUUUGGUUAGCAGCUGUAGCACUUAACCACUACGCCACCAGGGUUUCCCUUAAGCAUAGAGAGACCUGUUAUUUGAGUUGCAGACCUGAGUUUUUAUCACAAUCAGAUCACUAAUCAGCAAUGUGGCUUAGACAGGACGCUGAACAUCUCUGGUCCUUUCUUUCCUUAUUAGUCAAAUGAAAGAUUAAGUUAUACCAGUGGCUUUUAAGUAAAAAUUUAUGCCUCUCUCUGUGUGUGUGUGUGUGUGUGUGUGUGUGUGUGUGUGUAUGUGCUAGAUAGGUAGAUCAGAGAGCCCCUUGAGAAAAUGAUGAAAGUGAUAAACGUCUCCCUGGAAAAACUUAGGUAACAUUUUAUAUAAAAUUGCUGGAUGUUUCAUACCCCCUUGAUGCCUAUUCAUGGAUUCUAGGUGCCAAACCAUUGAUUCUGUGCCUUAUUCAGCUUGUACAUUUUCUACUCAAGUGAAACUUCAGUUCAUUUGUAAACAUGUGUUCAGUAUAUUCUCCCUCAAACGCCAAUUCCGCCUACCUCAGCCUACCAUGGCCUCCCCAUAUGCUGAGCAGGUUAUUCCCUGCACAAGGUGUCCCCAGCUGCUGUCCAAGCCUUUUUCUAAUUCACAUGGCGACAGAGCAUGGGCCACCCCUACAUUAGUUCCCUGACAGAUGAGGCCUUAUUAAUUCCCUUGUACUUUUCUGUUCAUAUUCAUCUCUAAGUCUCUAUCGUAUGCAGCUGAGACUGGGGAAAGCAAACAGAAACGGAAUGUAGGGAAACAGAAGGAGACGCUAAGUAGAAAGAAACCCAAAAAUCGUCCUUCCUAUCUACAAAUUGCUGGGUGACUGUGGGCAAGCUACAUAAUAUUUUCAAGCAUCAGAGCCAACAUCAAAAUCAAAUUGGCUCUUGCUGUGUCCUGUGGGUGAGAUAAUGGUGGUAAGGGCCCACAGAAAUUCAAGGUCUUAGAUGCUGCUGUUACUGCCAAAUGGAGGAUGAAGAAAGUCUACAAAGUUCUAUAGUGUUGAAUGUCCCACUGCUUCACACCAGGACAUCCACCUUCACAUGGAUUUUUACACAAUUUUUCUUCUUCUUUUUUUUUCCUAAGGGGGUGAAAGGAGGAAGUCAGUGCACAUGACAGUGGUAGGGCUGAAAAAUUCCCUAUUUAGAAAUCUGAUACAAAAGCAAAGUCAUCGUUUUCAAAUCAAAACCUGGCUCCACCUCAUUGGUCUGACUUGGGCUUCUACAGGGGCUUGGGGAGAGGCUUCUUCCAAGGAUGCAUUUGCCUGGAGCUGUAGGGCAGGGGCCGUGUUACCUCUGAGACAGGCCCAGAGAGUAACUGCUGUGAAUGAAGAGCAUACGGCUUACAUCACCAUCUGGUCCCACUCAGGCUCCACUCUGCCCUCUCCUUACCUCUCCAUCCAGCCAUAUGACACGUCUGUAGUUCCUCUAGGUCUGCGUGCGUUCCCUCUCGGGGCCAUCAUGCUUACUGUUUCUCAUGCUUGUGAUUUUGUUUCCUGGCUCUUUGCUUAAGGAGCCCUGGUGGUGCAGUGAUUAAGAACUUGGCUGCUGAUCUCAAGGUCGGCAGUUCGAAUCCACCAGCCGCUCCUUGGAAACCCUGUGGGGCAGUUCUCCUCUGUCCUGUAGGGUCGUUAUGAGUUGGAACCCACUCGAUGGCAAUGAGUUUGCCUGCUUAAAUCCUACUCCUCUUUCUGUUCUCAGCCUUGAAGUCACUUCUGAAGCCUUCUCUGAUGCCUGAGCUUGGAUUAGAUUCCCCAGUGUCCCAUGAAUUCUAUCCUAGCAUGAUUGUGAUUGCUGUUUAACCAGCCUGGACUCCCAGCAGAUUUUAAGGUCUAUGAGAUCAAGGGCUGUGUUUGCUUCACUGUUAAAUUUCUGGCUUCUGGCCCAGUACUUGGUGCGCAAUACCAAAAAAAAUCAGUCAUCAUUGAGUCAAUUCCAACUCAUGGCUACCCAAUGUGUUUCAGAGUAGAAUUGUACUUCAUAGGGUUCUCAGCAGCUAUGAUCUUUCAGAAGUAUAUUGCCCGGGCUUUCUUCCCAGGUGCCUCUGGGCAGAUUGAACUCCCAACCUUUUGGUUAGUAGCUGAGAGCUUAACUGUUUGUGCCACUCAGAGACCCCAAUACACAAUAGGUGCUCAAUAAAUAUUUAUUGAAUGAAUUAAAGGGAAGAUUGCUUAGUUCUUCUGACAGUUUGGAAGUUAAAAGAGUUAAUUGUGUUCAAGUAUAUUAUAUAUAUUAAUAUUAUACAUACCCACAUACUAACAUUAUACAUACCCACAUGUACUCCCAUCUCCCCUUCCAUCUGUUAUGGAAAGCUCAGAUUUAUUGUGUUAACUAUAAGUCUGGAGUUUCUCUUCAACUUCUUCCUCACCUCCCCAGCUAAACAUCCAAGCAGUCACCAAAUCCUAGGCAGUCCAUAUCCUGAGUUCUCUUAGAUUCCAUCUUCUUAUUUCUAUUCUUAAUGGUAUUGCCCUCAUCAUCUCCUGGUUAUGUCAAGAUUCCACUGCUCCUCAACCUUCAGCAUCUACUUUGUUCUGAGUGCUCCUCAUCAUGGCAUUUGAAACCAUAUCUGGAUUGGCUCACUGGUCUCCCAUGAGGGAGGUACCCAUGCUGGGCUCUUGGCCAUUCCUCAGAUGUCCUUAUUGUUUUGUUCUCUUAAUUCAUGCUGUUUCCUCAGCAAGGAAUCCCCAUCUCCUCCGAUGCCCCACCCCCCCAAGUCUGUCUAUUGAAGUUCUACUUAUCUUUCAGGGAUUCGCUCAGAUCCCUCUUCUAAGCAUCUUAAGAAUAAGGAUAUCCCUCUUAAGUAAGGAAUAAAUGUAUCCCUUAAACUCUCUGAAUCUAUUCUGUUCCUGAGUUCAGAUUGCGUGCUUGGAUAUGGAGGAAUAAUGGGUUAUCAAAAACUAAUAGUCUUCUGAUUUUGAGAGAGCAGUAGCUAGCAUUCAGAUAGAGAGCGAUUCCUGUCAUAACAGCAGCCCAUGCUUAUCAUCAUUUACUAACAACCAGGCCCUGGGCUGAGCUUUUUGCCUACUCUCUUUUAUUCUUCACAACAGCUAAAUGGGGAACCAGGAAAGAUAGGCUCUUUAAAUAUCCCCAUUGUACGGAUAAAGAAACUGAGAUUCAGGGAGGUGACCUGAGGUUCCCACAGUCACCCAGCAAGGAAGUGGUGGAGUUGCCCUUUGAAUCUAGUCCACUUCCCUCUAGAGCUUGAGAUGGUAACUGCUGUGCCCUCUGACAGGAAGGGGCCAGGGCUCUGUCCUCUCUGUAUCACCGGUGCACGCAGCGUGGCACUUUGCAUCAAAUCAAUGCUCCAUCAGUUCUCUACAUGAACAAAGCUUUCUAACUGGCAUUGACAGAGUAUAUUUCAUUCUCUUUUAUUAUUAAUAUUGAUAAAAAUGUGAUCCAUAAAUGUGACCCUUUUCUUUAUUUAAAUAGAAGUACGUACUAUACCUGAUUAAAAAAAAAAAAAGAGUACAAGAGUGUAUAGAAUGAAGAUAAAGUUUCAUUCCCUCUACUCAGGCUGCCUAGCCUAAUCCCCAGAGGCAACCACUGCUAACAGUUCUUGUUUAUCUUUCUGGAAAUAUCCCAUGUAUAAAUCAGCAUAUGUGAAUAUAGAUUCCUUUAAAAAAAAACACCACCACAAAUGGGAGCCUACUGGAUGUUGCUCUGCAUCUUGCUGUUUUCAUUUAGAAAUGCGUUCCAAAGAUGGUUUCAUUUUGGCAUAUACAGAUCUACUACAUUCAUUUUAAGGGCUGCCUAGUCAAUGGCAGUGGGUUUCGUUUUUUUUUGGUUUAGUGUUCUUUAGAAUGGAUAUACCAUGAUUUAUUUAAUGCAUACCAUUGAUGGAUGUUUAAGAUUUCUCCUAUUUUAUAAUUACAAGUAAUGUUGCUGUGAUAGUUAAGGUUGUGUGUCAACUUGGCUGGGCCAUGAUUCUCAGUGGUUGGCAGUCACAUGAUCACAUCCAUAAUUAGAUUUGAUAUAAUGUGAUCACCUCCAUGAUGGAAUCUUCUGUGAGUAGCCAAUCAGUUGAAAGGAGUUCUUGGUUGUGUGCCCUGCAUCGAAUAUAAGUGGACAUUCUGGCAAGGCUCGUGGGCUUUUGCUCUUUCUGGAUCCUGCAGCUGGUUCCUGUUCAUCAGUUCAGUUCUUGGGGCUUGAGCUAGCAGCUUACCUUCGGUCUUGCCUGAUGAUCUUGGGAUUCAUCUAUCUUUGCAGCCUGUGAGCAAGAGCCCUGCUCUCUGACCUGCCGAUCUUGGGUUCACCAGCCCCUGUAGCUAUGUGAAUCAGGAGAACCUUCUAUAGUUGGGACAUUCCAGCCUCUACAACUGCGUGAGGCAUUUCCUUGGUAUAAAUCUCUCUCUAUAUAUCUUUAUGCGCUUUACCGGUUUUGUUCCUCCAGAGAACCUAGCCUAAGACAGCUGCAAAGAAUACCCUUGCACACAGUUCUUUGCUGUCAUGGCAAGUGAUCUGUAUCUGUUUAUGUUUAAAUCUGGGGUUUUAACCUUGUGGGUUAGCUGUGGGCAAUAGUUCCCUUUUUAAAAAUGGGAAACCAAGACACAGAGGUUUUUAGGAGUUCUUUCAGAUGACUGGAGAGAGGAAAGAAGGAAGGCAGGGAGAAGGUCAGUAGCCCUAUAAUUCCAAAUUUUCAAAACAGGGUUAGAUUUGAAGGUUAUAAAUAUAGAAAGACAUGGUUCCCCUCCUGACGCCAGUAAGUAAUUUCAUAAAUUUAGUGUAAGAUAUUCCAACAAAAUUCAGAUGUUUUCCCACAGUGACCACAUCGAUGUUUUUGUUGACACAGCAGCUUCUUUUAAAUCAUUACUUUGUUGGUGUUCAUGACUUUCUGGGACCCUAAGCAUUGAUGGUGAGACUUUGGAUCUUACUUUGGACACAUCAUCAGGAAAGACCAAUCACUAGAAAAGAACAUCAUGGUUGGUAAAGUCAGCAAAAAUGAGUGAAACACUCAGUGAGAUGGACUGAUACAAUAGCCAAGACAAUAGACUCAAACAUAGCAACCAUCAUGAAGAUGGCACAGGACUGGGUAAUGUUUCAUUCCCUUAAACAUAAGGUAGCCAUGAGUCAGAGGUGACUCAAGGACAGCUAACAACAACAGCAAGCACAGACAUAGCCUGCCUUCUGGGUGAUCCAGCACUGGCUAGGUGUGAGGAACUGGGCAGCUUCAGGAAAAGUGGGUCUUAUGUCCUGGAACUGGCCAGGGGAAAUGCUCAGAGUGGAACCAAGCACAGAUCUGCAGCCUUAGUCCCAACUGUCUACUCUACAGAUGAGAAAAACUGAAAAUCAGAGUUUAAAGAUGUGACUGUCAAAAACUAUUCAGUAGCAUCUCAAUACAGGUCUUCCAACUCUCAGGCUGGUGACCAUCUCAAGUAAGCGAAACACUAGGAAACCACUCAUAAAUAAACAUAAGCCCUAUUUCUUCGUUUUUGUUUCAUAAAUGCAAACAAGGAACAAGAGACUCACGAGGCUGCUCUAGGUUGAUGGCAUGCUAAAUGUCAGCUCUCCACAUCCUGGCCUGCCCCACAAGGAUAUAUUACUGGAGUGGGAAGUGUGAUUUAGCACGCUCCGUUAGGAACCGGGAAGCAACAGUAAAUGGGCCUCAGGGCUGUAUGUGUGCUCCCGUUGCCCAUCACCCGGCCACUCCAACAGCCAUAACUAUAGCUCGAGGAUGACCAUCAACUGCUCUUCCAUAGUAUUUCAAGCCUGGCAGUGGUGUUAUCUUGUGCCCUGUUAACACUGCUUUGAGAGCUCUGGGCCACUGCACUGAUCAAGGUAAGAUCUGAACCCGCAACACUUCCUGUCAAAAGAACCUUGUAAAUCAAAACUUUCAGAGGAGACAGCAGCUGAAACAGCCUUGGUGGCUGUGAGUUUUGGCGGUGAUGAUCCCCCUGGAAGCUCCUUGGCCUUUACAUGCAUACCAUCAUCAGUUGCUGUUGAGUCAGUUCCAACUCAUGGCGAUCUCCUGUGCAUCAGAAUAGAGCUGUGCUCCACAGGAUUUUCAACGCCUGACUUUUCAGAAGUAGAUCGAUCCCCAGACCUUUCUUCUGAGGAGCAUCUGGGUGAACUCGAACCUCCAACCUUUUGGUUAGCAGCUGAGCGUGUUAACCAUUUACCCCAGACGUAUGACUGUCCUAUUUUUCUUCAUUCUGGCCCAAGUGCAGGCAGGGUGGUAUGGUGCUUAAGGGGCUCAGGAAUAAGGACAAUCUGGAUUCCACUCCUGGCUUCAUUACACACUGCAGGGCACACCUGAGUGAGUUAUUUCAAUCUCAACAAAUUGUCAACCAGGAGCAGGUUCAUUUUCUCUCGAUGCUCUGUGUAUGUAUGUGUGAAAAUAAAAUUAGGAAUUUGGACUCUAGGAUCUUACUUGCUUUACAAAGGCCACUGACUGGAAUGUUAAGAGGCAGUAAAGCCUAGUGGUUAAGAGCAUGUUUCUGGAGCCAGGCCACCUAUGCUUGUGUCCUAUGCUGUGACAUCUUGCACCUUCCAGCUGUGUGACCUUGGACAAAUCACUUCACUGCUCUGUGCCCAAGGUUCAUUGACUCUAAACAGUAAUAACGGUCCUUAACUCACAGGUUGGAAACCCUGGUGGUGUAGUGGUUAAGUGCUACAGCUGCUAACCAAGAGGCCGGCAGUUCAAAUUCCACCAGGCACUCCUUGGAAACUCUAUGGGGCAGUUCUACUCUGUCCUAUAGGGCCGCUAUAAGUCGGUAUUGACUCAACAGCAGUGGGUUUUUAACUCACAGGUUAUUGUGAGGAGAGCAGAUGUGUACGUGACACAAACAAAGCACAUGAAACAUGCACCAUUGCUGUAUGUAAAGGUCUUGUUUUGAAAGAAAAUGACUAUAGUUGUAACUCUCCUGCUCCCUCCUACAAAUAUAAUAUGCCUUUCUUUUUCUCCCUUAUACUUUAAUUGUUAAAAGUAUGUAUGUAAUAAAAUAUACUCACACAUAUGUGAAAUGACAAAUUUGUUUAUUCAUUCAACAAAUACUUAUUGGGACCUUAUUAUGUGCAAUUUGAGUCCCUGGGUGGUGCAAACAGUUAAUGCGCUUGACCGCUAACUGAAAGGUUGGAGGUUCGAGUCCGCCCAGAGGCUCCUUGGAAGAAAAGCCUUGGGAUCUACUUCUGAAAAAUCAACCAUUGAAAACUCUGCGGAGCCCAGUCCUGCUCCUACACACACUGGGCUGCGAUGAGACAGAAUCAACCUGAAGACAACUCAUUUGGUUUUUUAUGUUCCAAUUACUGUGUUCUAAGCACUGGGGGCACAUCAGUGUCCACAACCAACACAAAUUCCUGCCAUCUUUAGUGAGGGAAGCUUAUACUUUAGUGAGGAAGACAGAUGGCAAAAAAUUAACAUAAUAAAUAAGAAAAUUAUAGAGUAUAUUAGGUGGUGAUAAGUGCUACAGAAAAAAUGGUGUGGGGUGGCUGAGGGAGAGAGGAAAUGCUGGGAGGAUGUCUCUUGAGAAGGGUGCAAUCUGAGUAAAGCCUCACAGGAGCUGAAGGAGUGAGCCGAUGAGGCACUGGGUGGAGAGGGCUGAGGAACAGCAAGGAGAGGGCAGGGGGUGGUGGUGGGAAAUAGGCCCCAGGGCUAAGGGGUGGGCCAUAUGGGCCAUUGCAAGGAUUUUCGUAGGCCAUGGCAAGAAACAGGAUUUCACCAGAUAUUUUGAGAAGAGGAGUGACAUAAUCUAAUAAAAGUUACAAGGUCAGUCUUUUCAGCAUGGUUCAUUUAAGCAAAGAUUGGAAACAACCUACAUGGCCAUCAGUAAGGAGGUGAUUAAAUAAAUGCAGCCCUGGUGGCAUAGUGGUUAAGAGCUUGGCUGUUAACCAAAAGGUCAGCUGUUCAAAUCCACUAGCUGCUCCUUGGAAACCCUACAGGGCAGUUCUACUCUGUCCUAUAGGGUCGCUAUGGGUCGGAGCUGACUCAACAGCAUCUAACAACAACAUAGAAAAGAAAGCUUGUUAAAUAUAAUAAAAUAUGUUACCCAGAUAUGUUGUUAAGUGAAAAAAGCAAGGUGCAGUAUUAUGUACCAGGCAUCCUCAUGGAGAUCACCGUAUUUUCAUAAAAUACCCCCUGAGGGACCUAAGGGAAACUGAUAGCCUGUGAGGAACCUAGAGCCUCUGGAGGGCAGAGUAGGCAGGACUCUUUUCAGCCACCAUGUCCUUGCCUCUUUUCGUUUUGAACCAUGUGAAUAUAUUACCUGUCUUUCCAAAAAUGAUAUGUAAAACACAAAAAAAAUUUUUAAAAGUUAAAAAAAAAAAAACCCAAGCUAGAUGUUAUAUAAAGAAAAAGUUAAUGACCCCCCCCCCAUCUUCCAGUCCCCACCCAGAUCGUGUUAUCUUCUUUACUUGGCAACAUGAUGAACAAAAGACCAGGGUCAAUCUCCAGGCCAAGCCAAUAAAUCUAACACAUAUUAUUAUAAAUCUAACAUUUAUUAUAUUUAUUUAGUAGCUUAAGGCAUUCAUUACACGGACGUCCCAUAGUUUGAGUAGCGACGCCCCACUGGGAGCACAUUUGUUUGCAGUGUCUGUGCGUGGGCAUGCAUUCUGACGGUGCUGCGGUGAACAUCUUGGUUCAUAAUAGUUUGCCUUUUCAACUGAUUUCAAAUACUCCCUCUCAGUUGUUAUGGGAGUCCUGUGAGGUGUGGGAGGCAGUUACCUGUCUUCCCAUUUGUGGAGCAUUGUAGUAGGGAAACAGUUCUGAGACAGCCAUAUGAAGUGCUGGGUUGUAGUCCCCAGCUCUGCCUCUAACCAACUCAUUGUGUAAUUUGGCUGAGUCCUUCCCUCUUUCCGGAUUGAAUUGUGUUCCCCCAAAAUGUCUGUCAACUUAGCUAGGCCACGAUUCCCAGUAUUGUAUGAUUGUCCCCCAUUUUGUCAUCUGAUACGAUUUUCCUUUGUGUUGUAACUCCUAUCUCUAUGAUGUUGAUGAGGUGGGAUUAGCGGCAGUUAUGUUAAAGAGGCAGGACUCAGUCUAUAACAUUAGAUUGUGUUUUAAGCCUAUCUCUUUUGAGAUAUGAGAGAAGUGAGCAGAGAGACAGGGGGACCUCAUACUACCAAGAAACAGGUGCCAGGAGAAUAGUGCGUCCUUUAGACCCGGGAUCCCUGCAUUAAGAAGCUCCUUGACCAGGGGAAGAUUUAUAAUAAGGAACUUCCCCUAGAGCAGACAAAGAGAAAAAGCCUUUCCCUGGAGCUGGCACCCUGAAUUUGGACUUCUAAACUCCUAGACUGUGAAAGAAUAUUUUUCCUCUUUGUUAAGGCCAUCCACUUGUGGAAUUUCUGUUAUAGCAGCCCUAGAUAGUUAAGACACUGGGCCUCAGUCUUUCCAUCUGUCAAAGAGUGACUUGGACUAGGUGAUCCUGAGUGACUUUCCCAUUUCUAAAGUCUUCAUUGGAUUGCAAGUUUCACAAGGAGAAAAGCUAGGCUUGUUUUUUUCACUGUUUUUUUUUUUUUUAUUAUUGAGCCUGGCACCUAGUAGACCAGCAAUGGAUAUUUGUGGAAUAAACGAAUGAAUGAAUUCUUUGUCUUAUUCAAGGUCACAUAGCUUAAUCAUAGCAAAAUGUGUGAGUUCCUAUUUCUUUUUUCCUCUACAUCACACAGCCUCCCACCUCUGAAAUAUCUUUGCCCUUGACCUUUACAUCUUGUAACCACAUGAUCUUUUGCUCAUCUCUGGUACUCAUGUGAUGCGUGUUUCCCUGUCAAUGGGCCUUUUAUAUCUUGGGCCAGAGCUCUAAUCUUAGCACCGUAUUUACUACGUGUAUGGCCUUGGGCAAGUUGCCUGUCCUUGCCAAGCCCCUGUUUCCUCAUCUAUAAAUAGUUCAGUAAUUACUGUGCAGAUGUGCUUUGAAGUAAAUUAUCUAAGAUAUCGUAUAUGAAUCGCCUGGCAAAGUACCUGGUGAAUAGCAGGUGCUCAAUAAAUGGUUGCAACUGUGGGUCGAGCAGGGUGUAGUCAAUUGAUGGGCAUUUCAGUUCGACAAGUGACUAGUGGGCAUCUGUUAGAUGUGAGACAUCGGCCUAGGUGUGGGGUGGUUCAGUGCUGUGAGUAUUGUGACCUAUCCCUCAAGUAAAAAAAAAGUAGAUCAUCACAAAAUCCAAGAAACAUCCAGCUGGGUUUGUAGUGGAAUUUCUUAAGAAAUGGGUAAGUAUACUGUUGCAAAUUCCCCUCUUGCGUAGUUACUGAGUUAAAACAUACACACACACACACACACACACAGUUUUAAUCAUUUGACUUAGUUUCUAUGCUUUGCACUAUUUUUUAUGGCUUGUUGCUGAUUUCAGAGGAGACCUUAGAAAUUGGGGUGGGUUGAAAUAAUUGAGAUAGGGCAGGGGAGGGGCAGCUGAAGGGUUAUUUGCUUUCAUUUUCCUCAGAGAAAAUGAAAGAGAAUCUGAGACUCAACUCUUUAUCAAAUUCUGUUGCUGUAGAGAAUUUUAGGAACAUGAUUAGGGUCCAGAGGAAGAAAUGCAAAAGGUUACUUAUCUCAGAAAAGUGAAUCAACUAGGGCUUCUUAUGUGCAAGUUAGAGAAGACCGAAUUGGCUUAAAUAACAGUUUAUUUAGUUUAAAAUAUUUAGCAGUAGGCUAUUCUCAGGUGAGGCCUGAUCCAGGGACUCCAGUGAUUAUCACCAAGAGCUUUCCUUAGUGAUGGCUUCGUUUUCAGCUCUGGCAGCUACAGAUCCACUCUUGUGGUAGCAAAAUGAUGACGGCAGCUGCAGACCCCAUAUUCUUAUACUACAUCAUCCAGGGGAAGAGAGAGUCUCUUCAUCUGGUUCUGCACAAGCCCUGGAAUUCCUUCUCUCUCAUUGGUCUGGAAUGGAUUACGUGGCUUUUCCUGAGCCAAUCAUCAUUAAUCACUUCUGACAAAUUAAUGGUUUAAGCCAAUGUCUUAGUCAUCUAGUGCUGCUGUAACAGAAAUACCACAAGUGGAUAGCCUUAAAAAACAGAUGUUUAUUCUCUCAUAGUCCAGUAGGCUAGACGUCUGAAUUCAAUGCACCAGCACUAGGAGAAGGUUUUAUUCCUCUGUUGACUCUGGAGGAAGGUCCUUGUCAUCAAUCUUCCCAUGGUUUAGGAGCUUCUCUGUGCAGGAACCUCAGGUCCAAAGGACACUCUCUGCUCCUGGUGCUGCUUUCUUGGUGGUAUAAGGUCCCCAUGUCUCUCUGCCUACUUCUCUUUUUUGUAUCUCAAAAUAGAUUGGCUUAAGACACUAUCUAAUCCUGUAGAUCUCAUUAGUAUAACUGCCCUAAUCCAUCUCGUUAUAUCAUAGUGAUGGGAUUUACAACACAUAGGGAAAUCACAUCAGAUGGCAAAGUGGUAGACAUACAAUACUAGGAAGCAUGACCUAGCUAAGUUGACAGAUAUGUUGGGGGGACACAAUUCAAUCCAUGACAGCCAAUCAGUACCCACCUUUGGAGGUGAGAGUAGCAUCAAUUCCAACCAAUAUAAGAAGGUUAACAAUAAGGGAGUUGUGACUUCACGAAGGAAGACUGGGAUAAUAUUGGGAAGGAGAAUGGACACUAGGUAGCCAGCACACAAUAACUAUUGCCAUGAUAAAUUAUUUAUGAAGUAGCUACUACCUGUUGGAAACGGUUUUAAACAUUUUACAUGCAACAACUCAUAUAAUACUAAUAAAAACCCUAGGAGGUACUACUAUUAUUACUAUCCCAAGGAUGAGGCCACAGAGGCAGGAAGAGGUCAAGUAUGUUGCCCACCUGGGAAGCAGAAGCAUAAGAAUUGAAUCUAGCAGGAGCAGAUUAACCAGUUAGCAAGGUAUGCAUGGAUUUACAGUAAGCAAGGUACACACGGGUUUACUUGUGUUUACUUACUAAUAUGUAGUGCACAAUUUCACAUCAAAGAUGUGGUGAAAAAGAGAUGAAAUUGUGCACUACAGAUAGGCCUGUGCAUACCUUGGUUGUCGGGUAAUCCAUUCCUGGCCUAAAGACGGGGGCUCUGAGUCUCUGCUCACAACACUGUACUAUGGGUUUCGCCAGACUCAAGUUGGGACCUAGAAGUCCUUCUGCUCCACAAAAUCUUUUCCCUAAUACUAUUACUGUAAAGUGUAUUUUACCUUGAGAUGCUUUUUAAAGAAGAUGAUGCUCCCAUAUUCUAGAUCAUUCACUUGGUUGAAAGCUUUUGGGUAGUUCCAGGAUUCUUUCAAGCUUUUUAAGAGUACAUGGGAAAAACAGAGUCAUUUUUUGUUUAAAAGUACUCUUAGAAUGCUCUUAUCUUUCAUCUAUCAGUACUUACUGUCUCACAGUGGGUUGGACAUGUGUUCCUAGUCUUUUUUCUAUAAGCCUUUACUAGCAGCAGGGUUAGUGUUGCUUCCCCUCACCCUGAAGCUUUAAGGAGGCAGAGCAGAAAGGUUUGCAGAGGUGGAAGCAGCUCAGUGGAAAGAUGUUCACAAACCUCUGCUUUCUGACACCUUUACUUCCUUUUUCCCCUUUUUUACUUCCUUUCUUUUUUUUCUUCCCUCUCUCCCUCCCUCCCUCUCUUCUUCCUUCCUCCCCCUCCUUUCUUUCUUCCCUCCGUCUUUCUUUAUCUCAAGCUAUUUUCUCUCUUUUUGUUUAAUAAAACUAAUACCUUUUUUUUUUGUUUUUAAAUGUAAAAAGGACAAAUGAGAAAAAGUUAGAAAGAUCUCAUGUAGUACCAGCUUGCUCCCUUUAAUAAAUAACUACUCUUAUCUUUUCGGUGUAUUGCCCUCACUUUUUGUUGCAGAAAUUAGAUGUCAACAACAAUUGUUUUAUAGUACCAUUUCCCCUUUUAAAACGUACCUGGUUUUUUUUUUUUUCCCCACAUUAUUAAGCAUCCUUUAACAUCAUCAUUUUAAAUUGUCAGAGUGGGAAGAAAAUUGUCAGAGUGGAUAUGCUUCUUUUUAAAUUUAUUUAACCAGCUUUCUAGUUUGGACAAUUAGAUUUGAUUCCAGUAUUUUGAUGUUAAAACCUCUUUACUCAUGAGCAUUAUUUGGCUAAAUCUUUGCCCACAUUAUUGGUUAUUUCCUCAGUUUGAUGGGUCAAGUGCGCCCCUUUCUGUAGGCAGUGCCUGUCUUCUCCCGGUUACCUUCCCAGGAGGUGGCCCUCUGUCCCCACUCACGGUGCCCUCACAGGUCAUGGGUCAUUAUUACUGCAUUUUCCCACCUCUGAAGAUGGGAGGGCUUUAUCAACUUCCUUUGCUGUUGCAUCCAGAGAUGCUUGAUUUUUCAUUUCCACAUUAUCAGAUUCAGGAGUAGACUCAGAAUGCAGGAACAUGGUUGGUAUCGUUAUUGUCUUCCUGACUUUUUAUGACUGUGUAGUAUUCUCUCUUCACUGGGCACACAAUUUCAGAUAGCUCUUGGAUGGCCAGCUUGAGGAAAGGUCAUGCAAAAAUGGCAGAGAGAUUUAAUAGGUGGCCUUUUCACACUGUCUUUUUGAGAGACUACGGACCAUAUAUUAUGUUUGGUGCUUAAUGGCGGUUUUUUUUUUUGUUUUUUUUUUUUAAUUAAAUCUUCAAAACAAUCCCAUCAGGUAGGUGUUAUUCCUGACUUUAGCAAAGAGUGGCUUACGGAGAUUAAGUUAUUUUUUUCUGAGCUGGAGUCUAAACCCCAAUUCUUUCUACUUAACUCCCUAUUGUCUUUAAGGUACUUAAACCAGUUAAAGAGACCAGUUGUGCACAAAUGGAAAGUUAAAGUAAUGGUAUAAUGUGUGGAUACCAGGCUGUUGUGUAAUAUGAUAGGGGGUGGGAGGAAGAGGGACCUGGGAUGUGGUAGCCAUUAUGAGCAGCUGGGGCAUAGGGGCAUUUGGUUAUAGAAGAAGUCCUUUUGGGUAGGGGUAGUCCACCAGGGACCGUCAGCCCUCACUUGUGCCUGUAGAGACUGUGGGGAGAUGGAUCACGAGUUUGGGUCCCAGUUGAAGGGCAAGCUGAUCAGGGUACCAGCUCUACUCUCGCCCCGACAGCAGUGGCUGUAUAUUUGGGGAUUUCCAGGGUUCAAGAACUUCAAGCAUCUCAUGUACUGAGGGGGCUGCAAAUAUAAGCAUUGUCAUGACCCUUGGGGCUAUUUUUCAUAACCAUCUCUGUCAUAAUUUCCUAGUACUGAAUCAAAGAGUUAAAGGCCAAAGAGCUCUGGCAGAGAUGUCCCCAUAAUACUCUGGGGAAACAGUUGAGGUCAUCUUUCCAGUUUCACAUUUUUGUUCCUUUGAACCCACACUGUGGCAAGAUUGUCAAGCCUCUUGUAUGUCCAAUGUGAAACAUAGUGCUAGGCGAUUCCUUAAACACGGAGCCAGGUAAAACAUCAGGGUGUUUUUCUGCACAGGGUGUGUGUGCUUUUCAAGGGCCUGUGGAAAAAAAGAAAUUGGCUCCAAAAUUCAAAAAACUGUAAAAGCAAAAUCAAUAAAUGUUUAAUUAAAUGCCUACCCAGCAUGACAUCAUAACAUUGUAUCAGUUUAUGAAUUUUAACUCCAUCCCUACAUCAGUGUUACCACAAAACCAUGGAAGUUGAGGACAUAGUUCUGAAACACAUGCAAAAGUGAGGAUUACCUGUAUUUAGUAUUUACUGUGGAGCACUGGGAGCCCUGGUGGCACAGUGGUUAAGAGCUACAGCUACUAACCAAAAGGUUGGCAGUUUGAACCAACUAGCUGCUCCUUGGAAACCCUACGGGACAGUUCUACUCUGUCCUGUAGGGUCGCUAUGAGUUGGAACUGACUUGACAGCAAUGGGUUUUUUUUUUUUUUUUUGGUUUCGUGGAGUAUUGGGAUCGACUUGAUGGCAACGGGCUUGGUUUGGUUUUUGGUGGGGUAUAUGGUGUAUUUUAAAAUGUCUAAUACCAUGGAAUGGUGGUGGGGGGCGGUGAAGUAUUCACAAGUGUGAGUGGCCCUGCAUGGCAUUAAAGUAAAACAACGCAGGGCUCAAAAAUCUUCAUACCGUUGUUUCUGUUGCCUCCUAAGUAACAGGGUAGAAAAGAGCUCCAACCCAGUGAUCCAAUUAAUUUCCACAUUUAUGAGCACCUGUAAGAAAUGUAGCAUGAUAGUUAGGUCAGGCUCCAAACCAGGAGGGACAGUGUUCAUGUCACAAGGAAGACUCAUACUUCUUCAACGGUUCCCCUCCUCCCAGCAGUAGCUUACUGACUCUGUGACUCCAGAAAGUCGUUUAGCUUCUCUGAGCUUCAGUCAUCUGUACACCGUCAUCUGUAAAAUGGGUAUAGUGAUACCCAUCUCAUGAGGAUUCAAUGAGAUAAUGCAGAUAAUGUGUGUUGCACUUUGCCUGGCGCCUAAUAAAAAAGCUCAAUAAAUGAUGCUUAAAACAUCUCUGCUCAAAAAACCACCAAAAAUGAUAUAUUUUGAUUAUAAAAUGAUGAGGCGAAAUCCAUAUAUUGUCCAUGGAAACGUGAUUUAAGAUAUUUUUUAAAUUGUACUUUAGAUAAAGAUUUACAGAGCAAUUAGCUUCUCAUUAAAUAAUUAAUACACAUAUUGUUUUGUGACAUUGGUUGCCAACCCCACGACAUGUCAAUACUCUCCCCUCUUUGACCUUGGAUUCCCCAUUACCAGCUUUCCUGUCUCCUCCUGCCUCCUCGUCCUUGCCCUUGGGCUGGUGUGCCCAUUUAGUCUUAUUUUGUUUUAGAGGCCUGUUUUAUCUUCGGCUGAAGGGUGAACCUCAGGAGUGACUUCAGUACUGAGUUAAAAGGGUGUCUGGGGGCCAUACUCUCAGGGUUUCUCCAGUCUCUGUCAGACCAGUCAAUCUGGUCUUUUUUGUGACUUAGAAUUUUGUUCUACAUUUUUCUCCAGCUUUGUCCGAGACCCUCUCUUAUGAUCCCCGUCAGAGCAGCCAGUGGUGGUAGCUGGGAACCAUCUAAUUGUGAUGGACUCCGGUGGAGGCUGUGGCAGCUGUGUUCCAGUAGUCCUUUGGACUAAUCUUUCCCUUGUGUUUUUGGUUUUCUUCACUGUCGCUCCCCACAGGGUGGGACCCGUGGCAUAGCUCAAGAUUUUACAAGUUGAUUCUUACUGAAGCAAAAGGCAGGCAAUGGAGGUGCACACAGCAGGUGGCACACAGCUGUUUAAACUCUGGCCCCAAACAUUCACUUGCCUAUUUCUGAAAAACAUACCAAUCAGUCCCAGGUGUUGUGAAGCAGCCCUUAGGAAUGUAAAAGUCAACUUAACUGACUGGAACCAGGUAAUGGCACUUGUUAGCAGAAACCAGGCAGGCCUAGGUUCCUCCUGUUUUGUUCUAGUUGACUCCCACUCUAGUUAAUGGAUCUAAAUGAUUCUGGAUUUCUUUAAACAGGAAUGGCAUUAAUUGACAUCAUACAGCCUUUAACCUUUUAUAAAAGCUUCACGAACACAUCAUUUACUCUUUAAUACAGCGGGGGGUAAGAGUGUUCUUAACUGGUUACGUUUUCCUUAUCUUUCCUCCCUUCUAUCUGUCCAGUGUUUCAGCAUAUGCAACUUAGUGCCUGGAGGCUGGUUCCUAGCCUACUUGGAUGCAAGAGGCCCAGCUCCUUCGCAGAGAAGCUCACUUUCUAGUGGGAGAGAAUUGCACCAUGAUAGCUUCGAUGUCGACCCCCUGGGAGGCAGUGCAAUGUAAUAUAGAGGGCUUAGGGAUUUGGGGAGAGCAAACCUCAGUUCAAAUACUGUUUGUGCUCAUUUCUAGCUCUGUGAUCUUGGGCAAGUUUUUAAAAUCUCUCUGAGCCUCAGUUUCCUCAUUGGUAACCUGGGGAUAUUUUUUACUUUGCAGGGUUGUUGGAAGGAUUGAACAAGAACAUAUAUGUGCAGUGUCUGGCAUAUAGUCAGAGCUCAAUAAAUAUUUGCUUUAAAAAAAUUAUAAUAGAAGUUUAUAGAAACCUUUUGGGAUCCGAGAGAGUUAAUAAAACACCUCCUGGUCAGGGAAGCAAAAAUCUUUGAACUAAUGCUUUUCUGUCCACUGGUAGAUUUCCAGCGUAAAGAGGUUAUAAUUACCUUGGCUGGCCGUCUGAAUUUGCGUUUACAGACUCCAAGGGCCUAGUAAGGUCUUUCUAGUUUGGGGAGAGGAAGCUUGAAGGGCACCCAUGGAAGCAGUUAUUGUCUGCAUUUGGGCAAGUCACCUUAACUCCCUAAGAGAAAAUUCCUUUGUCAGUAAAAUGAGGAUAUAAUGCUGGCUACCUGACAUGACUGCCAUAGGAUUCAGAAAGAUCAUACGUGUGAAACGUUUAACACAGUGCUGGCACAUAGGAAGGGCCCGUUGAAACUGAACUAUUAGCGGAGACACAAGACUGCUGUGAAUUUCUGGAGAAGGGUGCUUGGGAAGAGAUUUGUGGGCCUCCUUCCUGUCAGCUCACUUCAAGCAGCAUCUGUUCAUUGAAAUGUUGAGCAGAUCUAGGCCUGGUGUGUCUGUAGCAAUGAAAAAGUGCUUUCUCCCUGAUCCUUACUCUGAGGGCCUAUUCUCUUAACAAAAGAGAAAAAGAAAAAAAAGAAAAAGCCAGCACACAUGUUAUUUAUUUAUUUUUGGUUAACGUUAAAUUGAGGUUUUGGCCGAAACUCAGCCUGUGCGUACUUGAAAAGCCAACAGGCUCGUUGGGCAGCCGAUCAAGCUCUUGGGAUUUCCCCGUGGGGCUGCGGAGAGUACAGACAGGAAGCCCGGGCACCCAACGCCUGACCAGAACUUCCGGGGGUGGCUGAAGGGGGGCAAGAGCAUCCUGCUCAGAACUCUCUAGAGUGCUCAGGCCAAACCUGUCGUCUGCUCCCAAGGGCGUGCUGGAAGAGGGUCCCCAGCCUCAACCCGGCGGUCUGAUUCCAGCAGGAAUCCGGGGGGAGCAGGGGGUGGGGGCGGGGAGGUUGAGGCUUCUCCCAGGGAGAGUCUCACACUGUCAGGCUGGAGCCUUCCAUUCUGGCCCAGCCUCUUCCCCCGUGGCCACUCUGAGGAGGGAAUGAGAAGGGACUUUCCAGAGAGCGUUAGUUAGCGUGCAGGGUGUGGAAAUGGAAUAAAAGCAUAUGCAAAUAGGCCUUUGUGUGCCUUCCUCUACCUCAGUGAGCAAGAGCGUUUCUCCAGAAAGAUGCAGUUCCUCAAGCCACUUGACGGCUCUCUUCCUCGCUUGGAUAGCAGCAGGCUGCGGAGUGGAGUGGUAAACCCCGGGCAGGAAACGUGCCAAACGAAUGAAGGAAAAAAAAAUCUCAGUUCCUCCAGUAUUACUGAAGACAGAAGAAUCAUACAUUGAAGCCCACUCUGAGUUAUUCGGCUGCCUGUGUCCUUGUUAAGCAGGAAGGAGCCCUUAUACACGACCGAUUCCAUCCUAUGGGUACAGUCAUACUUUAAAAAAUGUUAAAGUUACGUUAUUGGUAGCUUUUAAGAAACUAUAUGCCCUACUGCUCCAGGUCCCAUUAACAAUCUUUUUCAGGUUCCAUCUGUCUCCGGGCAACAAAUGUGGUUUCUUAUUUUAAAAGCUACUGUAUUUUUUCUAUUAUAUAAGUAAUAUAUGUUUGUUGCAAAGAAUUUGGAAAAUGAGGAAGUGUAUAAAAGAGAAAAAUUUUUAAUUGUUCAAUAAUUUUUUUAAGAUACAACCACUAUGUUUUUUAACAAAGAAUUUAGAAAAUUCAGAAAAUCCUAAAGGUGAAAAAAUUAUUCCUAGUCACAUAGAUGAUAAUUUUGGGGCAUUUCUUUUCAUUUUCACUUUUUUUAAAAAACAUAAUUGGGAUCAUCCUUUAAAGAUCAUUUUGGAUGUGUGUGUUUUGUUUUUUUUUAUCGAACAUUUAUCAUAAGCCUUUUCCCAUGUCCUUAGAUGGUCUUUGCAUGUAUCUUAAACGGCUGCAUACGUAGUUCAUGAAGUGGACAUGCUUUUAUUUUCCCAGUGUCCUGACUCCACACAUCUCUCUUUUUAGCCCUUUGUUUGUAUUUAUCCAGACAUUAUUUGUAAUGGCUUUAUGAGUGUAAAACAUAGUCUCCCAGACCAAAAAAAAAAAAAACCAAUGCCAUCGAGUCGAUUCCGACUUAUAGGAGCUUCUUCUUUAUUAAUACAUAAUAAUGUUAGUAGCACCCACUGAGGGUUCACUAUCUGCCAAACUCUAUUUCAAGACUUUGAACAGAUUCUCACUAAAACCCCUACCUCCCACAAUGACAGUAGGUACUGUUAUUAUUCCCAUUAUACAGAUGAUAGAACAGAGGCACAGAAAGGUUAAGGCAAAUACCAGGAGUGCAUUCCUUUGUAAAAUUCCUUUGUACACAGCAGAAAAUUCAGCUUAGAGUUUCUUGUACCAAUAGGCACUUAUUUUUUCUCAUCCAGCCUGGACAUGGGCAGCUACCAGCAUUGGUUUAGUGGCUCAGUGACAUCAAAGCUGCCGUCACUGCAGUCCCCUUCUCUCAUGCCUCUUGGUUUUUAAAAUGGCUGCAACGGCUCCAGACAUCACAUCCUAAUUCAGGGCAGGAAGAGAGCAAAACUGAUGGUGCUGACCACAUCUGCUUCACAUCAUGAAAAUACACUAAUUCCACACAUGAAUCAUUGUGUUUCACGUGACCACUCCCAAAUACAGAAGAGCUGGGAACGCGAUCGUUUACCUGUGGCAAUCUCUGGAGUAGAAGCUGUCUAGGAAAGAGGGUUUUGGGAAUGAUUGUUGUAUCAACCAACUAUCAGUGGCCGCCACAAGAUACUUACUGAGAUCAAGUAUUGGUCUCCUUUGACCUGAGCAGCCCGUUGCACACAGGAGCCAGCAACCAGCAGCUAAGAGUUGCUGUUUCUCACAUCUCCGGCCUAGAGUAGAAAUGGUCCAGAGCCUGCCAAACCCCAUCUCUCACUGAAUAUAACAUCGUGUAACAUAUGUUAACAUUUUUCAUCAAUAUUAGUGUCACUGCAAAUUGCUGUUAAAAUAGAAGUGGUUUCAUACAUUAUUUAUCUGCAGUGUGUCCACUGAGCCAUUCUUUUGCUGGAGAGCUGUCUCCUUGGUAUUUAUAAACUCAGGAACAAAUCUGCAGCUCAUUGGCUUUGUAUCCGCAGGUGGUGACAGAGGAAGCUGUUCUGGCUGAAACAAGUUGUUGCAUCUCCUCUUUUGGCCCUGAAUUUGUUUAAUAAGUGCCUGUUUGCAGGUGAUCUAAACUAGGGGCUGCACAGUGAAAAUUCUGAAAAUGAUGGCUGCACCCCAAGUCAUGAAAAAACGGUGUUAUCUUAGGAGAGGUCAGCACAACUGGACUAAACCAAAAGCAAAGAAGUUUCCGGAAUAAACUGAACUCCUUGAAGGUCUUGUGGUAGGCAGAAUAAUGGUCCUACAAAGAAGUCCACAUCCUAAUCCCUGAAACCUGUGACUGUGUUACCUUUCAUGGUAAAAAGGACUUUGCACCUGUGAUUAAGGAUCUUGGGAUGGGAAAAUUACUCUAGGUUAUUGGGGUGGGCCUGAUGUAAUCACAAGGGCCAUUAUAAGAGGGACACAGGAGGAUCACAGCCAGAAGACAAGAUGUAAGGACAGAAGCAGAAGUCAGAGAGGACAAAGAUUCUAAGAUGCUGACUUUGAAGAUGGACGAAGGCGCCAGGAGCCAAGGAAUGUGGGUGGCCUCUAGAAGCUGGAAUGGGCGAGGAAACGGAUUCUCCCUGAGAGCCUCCAGAAGGAACCUUGAUUUUAGCCAGGUGAAACUCCUUUUGGAUUUCUGACCUCCAGAACUAUAAGGUAAUAAAUAUGUGUUGCUUUAAUGCACUAAGUUUAUGGUAAUUUGUUAUAACAGCCAUAGGAAACUAAUCCAAGUGUCUAAUAUUUUCAACCACCUAUCUGUCAGUUUUUCAUACUGGGCUGGCUUGUAUGUUGCUGUGAUACUGGAAGUUAUGCCACUGGUAUUUCAAAUACCAGCAAGGUCACCCAUGGUAGACAGGUUUCAAUGGAGCUUCCAGACUAAUACAGACUAGGAAGAAAGGCCUGGUGAUCUCCUUCUGAAAAUUAGCCAGUGAAAACCGUAUGGAUCACAACAGAACAUUGUCUGACUUACUUGCCCUGCAUCAGUUAAUGUUGCAGAGGAGGACAUCGUGUUUGAUGAAGUCGAGGGCCAGCGAGGGUGAGGGAGACCCUUGGUGAGAUGGAUUGGCACAAUAGCAGCAAUGAUAGACUUGAACAUGCUAUCGGUUCUGAGGAUGACACAGGACUGGACAACAUUUUGCUCUGUUGUACGUAGGGUCACCAUAAGUUAGAGUUCACUUGUUGGUACCUAUGAAUCGACCGAUCAAUCAGUUGAUUGAUCAAUCAAUUUAUUAUCUACCUAACAUUUUUAAAGGCUCCUGAAAAGCUUAUAGGCUUUAAUCACUGUUCCUAAAUCAUUGAUGGCAGGAAUAAUCUUGCCCAAAACUUCUAGGUUUGCCUCAUUAAAAAAAUAAAAGGUCAAAUAGCAUCCCACUGUGUGGAUGGACUGUAACUUAACUAAUCAUACUGCAAUCAAUAAGCUAUACACUAUUUGUUUUUGUUUUCCUUCUAUAAGCAAAGCUCCAGCGUGCAUCCUUCUACACCAAGGGUUUACAACCCUGGUUGUACAUUAGAAACACUUGUAAAACCAGUUGCCUUCAAGUUGGUUGCAACUCAGGGUGACCUACAGAGUAGAACUGUAUUCUGUAGGGUUUUCAAUGGCUGAUUUUUUCAGAAGUAGAUCACCAGGCCUGUUUUCUGAGAUGUCUCUGGGUGGGCUCAAACUGCCAAUCUUUUGCUUAGCAGCUGAGCUUGUUAACUGUUUUCACCACCCAGGGACUCCAGAAUCACCUGUAGAGCUUUUAAAAUGUUCUUACACACGGGCCCUACUACCAGACAUUCUGAUUUUAUUGGUCUGAGCGCUUUCUUGGCACAAGCAUUUUUAAAGCUCUCCAGAUGAUUGCAAUGGGCAGCCAGGGCUGAGGGCCACUGUCCUACAUGCACCUUUGACCACUUGUGCUGUGUCUUAUCUAGUCCAGAACAUCCCCUUGCUAUCUGACAUUAACCCGGAAGCAGGCUCUUGUCAUUAUCUUUUUAAUGAAUGAUGUUGAAAUGACCUUCCCUAUAGUCUAUGCUCUUACAGCCUUGGCAGUGGCGAAAACUGCCCCAUAGUUUCCCUCUUCUGUAAAACAUGUGCACUCAUACCCUCCCCCAGCAGAGAUGUUUGUCUUUUAAUUGCCAGGGAGGAGGGAAACAGAACAUUAAAAAGACAAGCUUCAUUGAAGGGAUCAGGAUGGUAGCUCAUUCCUUAUCCUUAAUAGAGUCUCUGAGUUAGUUGUUUUCAUUAUGUAAAUUCUGGCAUUGAAGAAAUAGUCAGUGUUGAAAGAUUAGGACAGAUUAAUAAGUGAAAAGAAAAAUAUAUAACCAUCUUUUUUCUAUUUAAUGAAGAAUAAUGAGAAUCAAGUCCAAUCAUUUUAAUCAACAGCAGUGUUCAAGUGCAAAUGUUAUAUUCUGAGUUUGAGAAACUGAAUGACUAGUGACAGAUGCAGAGAAUUUUUUUGUCACUGUUGUAUAUACUCAGAGGCAGAUGUGACUCUAUGAUCCAAGCCCAAAAAAGCGGGGGAUAUUCAAAGUAUUUCACAGCUGGGGCAGUGUGGACACUGGGACAGGCCAGUACACUGCUCCGGUCCAUUCUAUUGGUCCUGCAAAUACGUUUGAUGCAGGGUAUUAAGGUUCCCCUGCUCUCACAAAGCUACUCCACUUGCCUCUCACCUUGGCUAGAUUCCACCAGACACUCCAGUCAAGAUUUUAUCUUUCCUGGGAGGUAGGGUGUGCGUAUAUGUGUGUGACAUUAGCUCUUCAGUCAUUUUUAGCUUUGGCCUUGGUUACUUUAUAGUUUAUAACAUAAGCAGAUUCCUCAUUUGGAUGGUGCCCAGAUGGAUGGAAUAUGGGAUAGGUCCGUGUUGAUGGGGAGAGAGAAAAUUAAGGACUGUGGGCUCCUGCCUGGGGAGAACAGUCCUCCCUCCUGAAGUGCUAUAGUUAGAGAUAGGGAUGGGAUGGCAUGAAAUGAGAAAGGACCUGAAGAUCAGACUGGCCUAUUAUUACCAUUAUGCCAAGUAAUUAACCUUACCAGAGGAUAGUAGGUCUGGAAGGAAUUUUAAAACCCAAAAAACAAAAACACCAAAUCAGUUGCCAUUGAGUCAAAUCUGACUCAAAGUGACCUCAUAGUCUAUCAGAGUAGAACUGUGCUCCAUAAGGUUUUCAGUGCCUGUGACAUUUUGGAAGUAGAUACCCAGGUUUUUGGGUGGAUUCAAACCUCCCAUCUUUCAGUUAGUAGCUGAGAGCUUAGCUGUUUACACCACAAAAGAACUUGGAAGGAACUGUCACAGUCAUUGAUUUUACCUGUUCUCAGAGAGGGAAAUUGACUUGGCAAGGCCACACAGCUAUUUAGCUUGGCAAAGUAGAAAGAACUUUAGUGUUGGAACUGGGUUGAAGAUCUGGCUCUAUUUCUAAUAAGAUGUGGCUCUUUCACUCUCCUUGAGACUUAGAUUUUCUCAACUGCCAAAUGGGGAUAACUUUCCCACAGAGUGUCAAAGAGUAAAUUAAAAAAAAAAAAAAAAAUGACUCCCAUACAAAAGAGAAUGAAUGUGUGUCAAAGAUUUUAUUCAACUAAUGAAUGAAUGAAUUAAUCAGUAAGAUGGUACAGCUGGCUCAAAACAGAAUUUGAAGAAAAGAGACUUAUAUAGUAAGUCAAAGGAAUGCUGAAAUGACUGCUAAAAGAUACAGGGCAAGGUAAUAGUAAUCUUUGGGACAGAAAUCUGCAAGUUAACACAUAACUUCACAAUGCUUAUUCUUUAAUCAAGUAGUGAAUAUCAAAAUCAAACAAAGGAGGAUUCUACUUGAUAAAUAAUUCUUUGAUGAGCCUGUUAAUGGAUGGCAUCGGAAGGGCCUGCAUACAUCCCUUAUUUUAUUUCCAAGUUUUGUAUUAUUUUUCUUAGUAAGGGUUAAUAUGAGGAUGUGAUGAAAAAAAUCUAAUGAAGUGUCCCUCUAAUGUUAUCGUUCAGAAGGAAAAUAUGCUCCUGGACUUUUCUGGGCUCUUGAUUCUUAAAGGGUGCCUGAAUGGCACAAAUGGGGUUGCACUCGACUGCUAACCUAAAGGUGAGUGGUUCGAACCCACCUAGUGGUACUGUGAGAGCUAGGCCUGGCUAUCUGCUUCAAUUAAGAUAACAGGCGGGAAAACCUUCUGGAGCAGUUCUUCUCUGUAACGCUUGGGGUCGCCAUGAGUUGGAGUCAACUCUACAGUAACUUUUUUUUUUCUUUCUAUUUUUAAAGACUCCAUCCAUCUACAUACCUCCCAUGUACAUGCUGCAGGAAGAAGUUGUCCUUGGAAGGAAAAAGUCUAUCAAUCCUCCAGAUAUCAAUUAGCCAAACUGCUGAGUAUUUGAAAUCCUAGGCUCAGGGGGGCCUAUUCUUUGCUUGAAGCCAAAAUAAACAGAUCCUUGUCAGUUUAGCCAAGGAACAGUAGAAAUAAGCCAAAGGUUUAAAGUCUUUGGAGCAGAAGGCCUAUUGAGUUGGAGGUGUAGGCUGGGCAAUGAGAGCUAUACUCUUCUUUUCCUUAGUGGGGUGUGGUGCCCCAAAUCAUCUCACUUCCUUUCUUUCUCACCUCAGUGGCCAAAUCUGGCCACAUACCUUGGUGAUUCUCCAACCAAGUUCAGUCCAUGGCCAUGAGAUCUGGUCAGGGCUGACUCAGCCUCAGCCAUGGUUCUCAUGAGGAAGCCUAUUUUUGAAUUUGCUUCUGUUUGCAUUUCAAACAGGUUAAUUAUUUGUUUAAAAAACAGGCUAUCUCUUGAUCUUAGGCUGGCAGUAACCCCACUGAAAGAGUAUUCGGAAAUACCACAUAUAUUUGUAUUUCCCAUGGCUCAUGACCCUGAUCUGAACCAUCUGGCUACUCUCUUGAACACACAUGCAGAGAUGGAGAAGAGAUUUCCAUAAAUUAACCUCAGCUUCUAGCAGGGCUGUUAUUGACCAUAUUGUGAAGUCUGCCUUUAACCUGGUUAGAUAUCCCCAACCCCAUCGAAUGCUCAGGGUCUUCUACCUCCUAGUUACUCUUCAAAACUUACACAUGGUGAUAAAGACUCCAUUCAUUCGUGCCAAGGAGUAAAUAGAUUUUAGUUUUUUUAAUCGUCCUAGAGAUUUAGUUUUUAAGAAAUGUAUUUUUUUUUCAACAUAUAACAAAAGUUAUUGUUCAUUAAUAAGAUUUUGGGAAAUACAGAAUUGUAUUAAGAAGAAAAUUUAAAUCACAUGUAAUACCACUAUACAGAGGUAACAAAUGUUAACAUUUGGCUGUAUUUUCUUCCAGACACACACACACUUAAAUAAAUUGAGAUUUUACUGUGCUAAUUAUUUUAAAUUGAGGUUGAAGCCAGCAAAGCUACAAUUUCAUAUAAGAAUCAGGGGCUUGCACAGACUUUUUGUUUAUGGUAGAGUAGGGGGAGUAAAAGGUGGUGGAAAUGGGCAGUGGGAGCUUACAGAGGUACCUCCUUUAAAAGAAACGAUCCUCUGGCCACUUGUUGGGUUGGUAGAGAUGGCUUCUUAGAUAGAAGAUUUUUGGAGCUCUUGAUGUUACUGUAUGUGCAGGGAGUAGCAGAAUCUAAGGUAUUGUUUUUCCCGUUUAAGAAUGUAUGUGUUCCACACAACCAAAUACUUAGAGGGACAAAGUUGCAGGGGUGGGGGUCUAGGGACCAUGAUUUUGGGGGACAUCUAGGUCAACUGGAAUAACAAAGUUUAUUAAGAAAACGUUCUGGUUCCCACUUCAGUGAGUGGCAUCUGGGGUCUUGAAAUCUUUCAAGUGGCCAUCUAAGAUGCACCAAUUUGUCCCAACCCACCUGGAGCAAAGGAGAAUGAAGAACACCAAAGACACAAGGAAAAUAUUAGCCUAAGAGACAAAAGGGCCCCAUAAACUAGAGAACCCAUCAGCCUGAGGCCAGGAGAACUAGAUGGUAACCAGCUACCACCAAUGACUGACCUGACAGGGAACACAACAGAUAGUCCCUGGCAGAGCAGGAGAAAAAAAAGUGUGGUGCAGAACUCAAAUUCAUGUAAAAAGACUAAACUUAAUGGUCUGAUUGAGACUAGAAGAAUGCCAGGAGACAUGGCCCCCAGACUCUCUGUUAACCUAGAAUGAAAGCCAUUCCUGAAGCUGACUCUUUAGACAAAGAUUAGACUGGACUAUAAAACAUAAAAUAAUACUCGUGAAGAGUGUGCUUCUUAAUUCAAGUAGAUACAUGAGACUAAAUGGACAGCUUCUGUUGGGAGACAGGAUGAGAGGGCAGAAAAGGGUAGGAGCUGAUUGAAUGGACACAGAAAACCUGGGUUGAAAGGAGGAGUAUGCUGUCACAUUAUAGGAAUUGCAACUAAGGUCACAUAAUAAUAUGUGUAUAAAUUUUUCUAUUAGAAAUUAACUUGAGAUAUGGACUUUCACUUAAAGCAUGUACACACACACACACACACGAAAGAAUGUAUGUGUUCCAGCCUUCAAAGCUUUGUAUGUGACAUCAAUGCUCACCAAGUUACCAAAGGUAAAACUUGAUUCUCACAUUUUCUCACUUCUUACAUUCUGAAGGUUCUACCUUUAAAUGUAUCCUGACUCUGAUCACUUCUCACCAUCUUCACCAUUACCACCUUGAUCCAAGUCUCCAUCAUUUUCACCUGUAUGAGUUCAAUUAAUACUGUAGUCAAAGUUCGUUGAUAUCCCUUUAGUGAACAUUUGGUACCAACUUGAAUGUGAGCAUGUAUUAUCAUACCAAAAAAGAAAAAGAAAAAGAAAAACAACCCCUUUGCCAUCAAGUUGAUUCCAACUCAUAGUGACUCUAUAGGACAAAGUAGAACUGCCCCAUAAGGUUUCCAAGGAGUGGCUGCUGGAUUUGAACUGCCCACCUUUUGGUUGGCAGUGGUAGCUCUUAACCACUACACCACACUGGGACUCCAUAGUCUAUCCCAUUUUAUCUAGGAAGAACCUGAGGUUCGGAGAGGUUGAUUUGUCCAAGGUCACACAGUUGAUAAGAGGACUGCAGCUUCAAACCUUGACUGUCUUACUCCAGAAGUCACUACCUCAGACUGCUUCCUUCAGCCACUUAGAGACUGGGACCACCCAGUUCUUGACAAUGCGUUAGAAGAAAAGAACUUAAAGUGUAACUUCCCCACCAGCAGAAUUUGCAUUUCGCCCCCACUCUUCUCUUUUCUUCUGCCCAAGUCAACUUAUUCUGUAAGACCUAACUCAUUUUUUAUCUUCUCAGUGAAACUUGUUCCAUUCAUCCCAUUUCCUAUCUUUUUUAAAUUGUGGUGAAUAUAUUUAUACAUAUAUUUGCCAUUUCAACACUUUUUAACAUGUACAAUUCACUGAUAUUAUGUUCAUCAUGUUGUGCAAAUAUAACUAAUAUUUGUUUCCAAUUUUUUCCAUCACCUUUAACAAAAUCUUGGUGACCCCAAGAAAGGACUCCCUCUUUCCCCUUCUCUAGCACCUCGGUGGACUUUAAGACAAAAAGGAGUGAAUCUCUGAUAGAGGAAUGGAAAGUUCUGGGAUGUCUCUUUGUCUUCAUGCUAAGGAGUCAGACUGCCCAAGUUGGAUUCUCAGCUUCCUUGCUUAGUAGCUAGAGACCUUAGGCUGAUCUCUCAAUUUUGAUAGCCUUCAUUUCCCAAUAUGUAAAUAAGGGUGAUGAUAAAAUACUACCUACCUUAUGAACAUGGGUAUGAAGAUUGAUUAAGAUAACAGACAUAGAGCACUUGCCUAGAGCCAAGGCAGAUGGUAAGUGCUCCUGGUAAACUAAAAUGCAAGUAUCCUAGAAGACCUUUGCUGUGACCCCAAAGAAUAUAAUAAGGAAAGUGAGAAUUUGAAUUGUUGACAGUAUGGGCUGGAAAGGAAGCAUAGAAAAAUCAUAGUGUAUUUUCAAAAAUUGUCUGGAAAAGCAAAGACAGAGAGUGGCAUUCCCCUUUACCUCACAAACCCGUACAUCCCAUCCCCAUAUACUAUUCACUGUUGAGAUCUUCUGUGACCAGAAGGAAAAAAGUCUUUGAGUAAGAUUUUAUCUUUACUAAUUGAGUCAAACAAGUGCUCUUUGUAAAUCCAAAUAAACACAUAAUACAUUAAGGACUUAGAAUCCUGUUUUAUUUUUCUUUUCUGGGUCACUGUACUUGAAGCAGUAGAAACCAGAUAAGUAGGCAUCCACUCAAUAAAUAGGCGUCCACUAGAAGGAACAAUACAAGGGUGCCCAGCCUUUCAUUGGCUGAAAUAAUAGCAUAUCAAAAGCCUGAUUCUCUACUUGGGGACAAAACACAAAGGAAUAAUUUAAGUUGUCAAUUUAACAAAAGAAAAG